GUAGUUGUGUCCGAGUGGUCAAGGAAACAGACGAAAGGUCUGUGGGUUAAUAAUCCCAUCGCAGGUUCGAAUCCUGUCAACUACC